ensembl:lncRNA
AUGCAGGGUGGCGAAGAGAGCCUCCCCUCCACGGCGCUCAUUGGGUUGAUGAGGAGCCGGGUCAACAGGCGCACAAAUGAACGCAUGCCGCUCGGUUCGGGCGCGGACGCGCGAAGGUUAUCGUCUCACAUUGCCGCCCAUGGCUGUAGACGUUACAUAGGUGCGCGCAGAACACGGCGGCGGCCGCCGCGGUGGCAGAUUGUCAAGUGGGGAACGCGAGGUGAAGGAGAGUCAGGCAUCGGAAAGCUUCAACACACGCUGGCAAGCUUCCUAAAUACACGAUGCUACUGGUUGAAGAGGUGUGUGUUUGUGCGGUCACAUCCCACAGGGACCUCUGUGUUGAAAACGGCUUUGGAAGUGGACGUUCUGGAAGGACAUAGCGUUGUUCGCACGCUUCAAAUGUCAUUUCAAAAGGCUCAGAGCGCCACGGGCACAAAUUACAGUCACCUCCGUUGUUUGGGGGCGGAGGCAUAAAUCUCGGCGCGCGAAACCGGAAUUAUCUGCUCGAGUAAGUCCCACAAAAGGCUGAGUGAUGAAUGAUGUUUUGUGAUUUGUGUGAAGCGACCCUUAAAAGACACAGCGUUCUCAUGACACAUGUGCAUCUUAAAUUAGCCGCUCGCCGCCGAGGGACAAAGAUACAGUAGUCGCGCCGAAGGGCGGAGUCCCUCCACGGACGUAUACGUUUGAUUGUUAAAGCCCCUGUACUUACUUCACCUGUUCAUGUGGCAUUUGAUUGGAAUUAUAUUCAAUUUCCUCUCAAAGAGACGACGCCAGGUGUUUGACAGUUAGUGUAAUUUAUCAUGCGGCGGGUUCGGUUGGUGUGUAGGCCGCUAUAUCAUAGGAAAAGUCCCACGGUUUCCACCGCAGGCGUUUGUGUCACGCUCAUCACGUUUGACAGCUGUUCAAACUUCACCGCAUCUGCUUCUUCAGAGGCAAAGUCUGCUGCUAUCAUUAGCACAUUCACAACAUUGCCAUAUUGCCCCCUUUUGCAUCUGUUCUCAGAAGUAAACUGUAACUGAUGGUAUUAUCUAAAGCCGUGAUUCAAUAAUCUGGCUAAUCCUUCGGGACUUCUUAUGUUGUAGGACUGAACACUUGCUGUGCUCUCGGAAAAAGUAAGGAGCCUUAAAGUCAAGAGUUGAAAUUAUGGUGUGCGGGAUAAAGCUAUUUUUGGGAUUAGGAAUUUUACAUUUGGAAAAAUUAAUGAACGCACGGCGCGGAAAUGGGGAGAACUUUUAUACUUCCACAAAGAUGAUGAACACAAUGUCAACACGAGAGUGAUGAACGACGGGAAGAGGUGCAUUUAUCAGUAGGAAAGUUCCAUUAAACACAAAGAGGAACGUUGCAUCGCGACAGCGAUUAAAAUGCAUUCUUGUUUAGGAGCGGCGCUGAAUUGGAAGGCUCCAUUGUAUUUGGAGUGGGGCUAUGUUUAGACUGGAGGAACAUUAAGGUCAUAAGAAGCUUUGGGGUGAAAAAAAAAAACACACGCCACCUCCUACCCUGCUUUAUUCCUUCACACUUUCCUGCAAACCCUGCCAUUUCGGAGCUUUAUAAAUAGUAUUAAGACUGUUCUUGGCUCCCUUGUCGUUAUGGGCCGCUCAGUUUGAGUGGCGGUUGUCACAGACAAUUUUUAUCAUACUUUCAUAGAGGGAGGCUGUUCACUGAGGAGGAGAAAAUUCCCUUUGAGGAAGUAAAGACUUAGUCGGAAGAAAAUUGGCCACAGCGAACGCAGCCCUGUUGUGUUAAAAGAAUAAAUAGUCCCCGGUUAGCA